rnacentral:tmRNA from 1 species
GGGGGUGAAACGGAUUCGACGGGGAUAUGAAAGCUCAUCGUUGCAUGUCGAGUGUUCUGUCAGCUCGUAAAAUUGAUGGAUUUUUAAAUAUAAUCGCUGACGAUUAUAAUUACGCAAUGGCAGCAUAGUCUGCUUUGCCGCUUUCCCAGUCCGUGCCCGUAAGGCUGGUGUAAAGCGUCGACUCUUCGGGCUGGUCAACUGGUGUGCCUCUCAUCAGACUGACGAGAUCUAACAGGCUGGUAUGCAGCAAUCCCCUGUUCUGGGUGAGAGCUGGAUACGAGAUUUUUACCCAGAACUAAACAUGUAGAGACGUGAGUGGAGUAUUUUCGGACCCGGGUUCAACUCCCGGCACCUCCACCA